CCCACACUCUUCCAUCCAAGAAAAAUGGCAAGGAAGAGGGGAGGGGGGCUGUGCUAUAUAUAGGCAGAGGACUUUAGUCCCGGUUUGAGACACAAACCGGGACUAAAGGUGGCGCACAUGCGUUGUUGCACACCGCGUAGCCCUUUAGUCCCGGUUUGGGACACAAACCGGGACUAAAGGCUCCUUACGGACCGGGACUAAAGCUUCGAGGGAGACAUUGCGAUUUGGGACGACGUGGCCGGACAUUUAGUCCCGGCCCAGAGGCAGGCCGGGACUAAAGGGUCCCGGCCAAAGGCCCGUUUUUCACUAGUGCUAUAUCACGAUCAAUAGUAAUAACCCCAUCAUUACUUUUGGUCAUGCUCUUCUCCGAUACCGCACCGGUCAAGACGAUUCUCACGGAUAGGCACAGUCGACAAGAUCAUGGAAAAAUUCUAGAGUCAGCCAUGGUCGAUCAUAAUGACGGAGGCACCACAAUUGUGUUUCUCUCCUUGGAUGAGCUCUUGUGGGGAUGUCUUCUAUCCCUCGAAUUUGUUUGGACUCUCCUAUAAAAAUCUCUCCCACAAAACAAGGCCUGAAGGUACGGCUAUGAUAUGAUAAGAGUGUCAUGGAGGAAGAACCCAAGAGCAUAAUAUGGCAAAGCCCAUGCCAAAAGAUGAAGAUUUAUAGUGUGGGUAAAUCGUACAACCUUUACAAAUUGUAAAACACAUUUGUAUAGUAAUGUCCUCGGUUAUUGCCUCAGUCUGGGAUAAGUCUCACUAUUUGACCGAUGUCAAAAAAGGAGAAAACAACAAUCAACUACGUAAUUGUAGGAAAUAAUUUGUUGGUCAUGAAAUGACCAUGUGAGCAAAUGGACUGUUCACGAUACGUAGUAGCUACCCCUAUGACAGCAGGCUAGGUUGUGGCAACAUUUGCACCAAAGCAGUGUUCCACACGCAUCCAAUGGAUAGAAACAGCCAGAUCGAGAGAUAUUGGACGGCCGAAAAGACUGCAGGCAUGAGCUGACUGGAUUUAGGUUCUGUUUUACUGUCCUAAAUAUGGAUGUGUGGUAUCUUAUUAUUUACUAACCUGUAAAAUGAGAACAUACACAAACUAGCAGUAGGACUGCAAUGUAUAGUUUAUCUUUGAAUUUUACAAGAUCCAAUUUUCCUUACACUUGUAGAAAUACAUAACUUUCUCUUGACAAAGUGCACUAGUGGAAAACGGGCCUUUGGCCGAGACCCUUUAGUCUCGGCCUGCCUCUGGGCCGGGACUAAAGGCCCGGCCACGUCGCCCCAAUUCUCAAUGCCUCCCUCGAGGCUUUAGUCCCGGCCCGUAAGGAGCCUUUAGUCCCGGUUCGUGUUCCAAACCGGGACUAAAGGGCUACGCGGUGGGCAGUGGUGGUGGCAACCGUUCGUAUCCCCCUUUAGUCCCGGUUGGUGGCUCAACCCGGGACUAAAGGCCUAACACGUGGCCUGCCGUAGUGGUGGCAACCGUUGGUAUACCUCUUUAGUCCCGGUUGGUGGCUCAACCCGGGACUAAAGGCCCAAACGGUUUGCAUCCCGCGUCGUUUCGGGCGAUGAAAAGCACGAACCGAAGCAGAGUCGCCAUUUCUCUGUUUCUUCUUCUCUCUCGCUCUCGCUCUCUGUUCUUCUCCUCUCCUCUUCCCUUCUCUUCUUCCACCAUGCCAACUCGCUUUGGAGAGG
rnacentral:lncRNA from 1 species